AAUUAGAUAAUAUUAAGUACUAAUUUUUAUUUACAUGGUCUAUUUAACAGUUGAUGACCGAGGAUGAGUUGAGACAGAUUCAGGAGGGCACCUUGUCGGCCAUUUCAUUUGGCCUAGAUAGCUUGACGGGCACAAGCAGCACAAGUGCGGUGCAGUGUGAUCUAGGAUCUGGUAGUGCAAUUGGAGACAAGGGAAAGAGAAUCCUUGGCUUCACAUCCUUGAUGACUACACCCAC